AUUAGAGGAUCUGUGUGACCAGAAGACAAGAAAACUUCACAGCAGGCUUAGACAAUGUAGUGGUAAGAGAACAAGCAGUGGGCCCUAGUUUAAAUCUAGCCGGUGUAGUGCAGGCCUUGGGAGAUCAGGGUUCAAAUUCCUGUUCUGUUGAGCACAGGCACUGAACCCAAACAAGAAAAGAUCCUAUCCUUACCCUGUGUAUUAUCAUUAGAGACAGGUGGACUGUCCUGUUGGCUUGGAAAUAUAUCUCAACAAUAGAAGCUGGCAGUAACACUAUGUCAUUGUCUACAGUUCUUUAACAAUAAGGGUCUUGACAUCUUUUGCUUUUGGCUGGAUACACCUGAAGAGAGAGAAAUAAUGUUGCCCCAAUACUCUGAUUUUAAACUACCACCAGUAGUUUCCCAUGUCUGCAUGUCUCCCUCCACAACAGGGGUGGAGAAGCUGUAGACAUCCAGAAGUUCUGCAACCACAAGUCCCAUCACUCUGUACUGUACCAUUACCAAUGCUGGCUGGGACAUUUAGAGGGUGACAUGUUCCCCACCUCUUAUUUCCACAUGCAUGGUCAAUAAAGAACUUUCAUAUCUCAACGUAGCAUGUUCAUGUCUCCUUAUAGCACUUAUAGCUUUAUGGAAGUGAGCCGAUGGCAACUUACAAGUGUCAGGAGCAAUGCCUCAACACCUUCUACAUGUGCCGCGUCAGAAAGAUUUUGGGCAUUUCAUAGCAGGACAGAGUUUCAAACAAAGAUUUGAUCUCUCAGUCCAAACUGGGGCUGCCUUAACUUCGUUCAGCCCAAUUCCAGGUUUAUCCAAAUCAGUCUGAUUCAGUUUGGGAUCAGAGAUUUGAGCAGAGCCAGUGUACAACCUUAGUAUUUUUAAACUGCUUUCUGGCUGGACCUCACAAAGUGAUUUAAAUUAAAUUAUUCCAACCAUAGGCAUCAUUUUUUUUAAAAAAAAUGUUUACAUGUGUGAACCAGCAUGUCCUCUUGGAUUCAAUAGAUUUAGCAAUUUUUAAAAAGUAUGAUAGAAGAAUAGAGAAUAAGAAAAAGCAUAAAAUAAAUGUAUGGUGGGAGAGGGGGAGCAUUCACAGACAAACCUUCUUCGUUGCUCCUGUCUCUCAUUCUUUGAUUUAGUACCACAGAAGUUCAGCCAUUGAUGCGACAACUCUUCUUUUGAUUAGCUGAGCCAGCAAUGCACUGCACUGUCACUCUGCCUACGGAGAAUUAAAUUUGAGCUCAUGAGAACAGGUUUGUUUUGUUCUAAAUUAGUUUUUGUUUUGUCUCCUAUACACAUACUCACCUCGUUGCUGUGCUGAUGACAUCAAGUGGAAUUAUGGUGGAAUUCAAAGGUGUUUCACAGCCCUCUGACAGUAGCAGCGGUGGCGGUUGCUUAAUUUUUAAUCUGAUGAGCCUGUGCUACUAAUGUAAUGUGCUUGUACGUCUUCAAGUGUUUGUGUAUCAUUGGGAAAAAAUACUGCAGAACCCUGAAAGUGGAAAAAGAGAAAUAGAUCAAAAGCAGAACCAGAAAUCACGAUGAACACGCCUUCAUCUAAUGAACCUUCUUUAAGAAACAAUUGAACCUGUGGUUGUGUUUCUGCAACCACAGCCAACUCUGACCAGUUGGAACCAAGCCAGAUAAUCAUCAAAAUGACCAGAAGAGAAGAGAAAUAUCAAGAAGAGUGGAAAAAAUUUAAAGACUAUUUGAAUAAAUACUGUAACAUUAAAAAUUAGAAAUUACUUGAAAGUACUAAAUAGGUCUAGGAUGAAAUUAAGAGUUAGUAAAAUAAUUGAGAUUUAGGACCUUAAGAAAAGUUAAGAAAUUUUAUUUUAAUUGGAAUAUUGUGUUUUAAUAUUGAUAUUAGAAAACUGCUACAUUUAAAUACAAGGAAAUUCAAAUGGGAGGGCUCAGAGGAAGUCAAAACCAUGUUUAUGAUGUUAGAAGUUUAAAUAACCAAUUAAUUUGUAUUGUCUGGGUGUUAGUUGACAUGAUUUUUUCCCCCUGUUUUCUUUUUUGUUUAUAUUUGUGCUUUUGUUUUUUUUUUGUUUUUUGUUGUAGUAUGUGUUAUAUUUGUAAGAAACUUAAUAAAAACUAUUUAAAAAAGAGAUAAUCAUCAAAAUGAUAAUCUCUUCUGACAGUGAAAACCAAAUUGUAAUGUUAUUAAUGCUAGGUGACUGUGAAAGAGUAUGUACAUGUUGGAAUUAAGAGCUAACCACGAUGGCUGCACUGGGAUUCUAACUCACGAAAUUCUAACUCAUGUCUGGACAAAGGAACUUCAUCAUGAAGAAGAUUAUACAUACCAUAUCUCUUUGCAUGAAGAUAAUGGAUUUUCUGAACUCACAUGGCUCAUAGCUAUUUUAUGCUGGACUGAGAGAAAAGGGCAUCAUCCCCCAGGUGAAGAAGCAGGAUUGGUCUGUAGAAGAUACAAGAUAAAAUCCUGUCCAUUCACACUCCCAUUUCUGUACUGACAAAAACAAUAACAUUGUUCACUUAUACAGGUUACCAUAUCAGAGACCAGUCUCCCCCAGAUGGCGUAGCUGAAUCCAUUGGUUUGGGUCCUAUCCUCCAGAGCAGGAGAAAGCAAUCUUGUUCCAUCUUCCAUGUGACAGUCCUUAAGAUACAGCAGGGGCUGUUGUAGUAACUGCGGGAGUAGAAUUCCAUGUUACAGAGCAGGGGCCUUGGGAAAUGAAAAGUGGGAAUAAAAAUUAUAUCUUCUAUCAGAUAUUCAGCAGGAUUGAAUGGAUAUACUUUUAAUGAUGCACAUAUGUAUUGGCUAUGAUAAUAUCUUUUUUUUUAAUGAUAUUUAUUAAAGUUUCACAUGAAAAGAGACACAUCAAUAAAAAAAAUUAAAAAAUAAAAAGAAAAAUACACAAUACAAAAUACAAAAAAACAAACAAAAAACAGUUAAAAACAAUUCCAUCUUUUCAUCACUACUUUUAGAUUUACUUAUUUCCUGGACCUCCUCAUACCUCCCUCUUUUGUAUUCCAAUUCAGUUUGUUUGUCCAGCAAUUCCUUUCCCUCCUUUUUAAUCCCAAUCCUUAAUCUUAAUAUAAUAUAACAUUAAAUUUUUACCUAUUAAAAGCCAAUUUUCCAUUCUUUUAACCUUUUUAAUCCUAAUCCUUAAUCUUGAUCUAUAUAUAACUUUAAAGCCUGUACAGCUAGAAGCCACUUAAUUUCAAUCCAUCAUCACUCUAACAUUCUUUAAUUUUGCAAUAUUUCUGUAAGUAAUCUUUAAAUUUUGCAAUAUUUCUGUAAGUAAUCUUUAAAUUUCUUCCAAUCUUCUUCCACCGACUCUUCUCCCUGGUCACGGAUUCUGCCAGUCAUUUCCGCCAAUUCCAUAUAGUCCAUCAAUUUCAUCUGCCAUUCCUCCAGUGUGGGUAGCUCUUGUGUCUUCCAAUACUUUGCGAUGAGUAUUCUUGCUGCUGUUGUUGCAUACAUAAAGAAAGUUCUAUCCUUUUUUAACACCGAUAGGUUAACAGUGGCUAUGAUAAUAUCAUCUGUUCUUCAGAAGAGUAAAAAUAUGGGAGAAUAAUCUCAGAAUGUGUUAAUUAGAUUCUGUUGCAUGUUUUAUUUUUCCUGUUCCCCCCAACUAUUUUUGUAAUUUGGAAAAAAAAAAUUCCAAUAUUUUUUAACAAUAUUUUUUAGAAAAGAAUUAGAAUCUGUUGUUUGGGUGGAGAUUUAUGGGGAUCUAAGCUUUCCCCCUUCUAUGUUGCUAUCAACAAUUGGACUCUUUUCUUUUUUCCCAUAUAAUCUAUUCGGUGGAGUCAACAAAAUAUUGUAAAUCUGUCCUGUCUUGCAGCAUGGUAAUGGUAAUGGAGUAACUUCACUCUCCUCCCCCACCCCGAUUAAGUACAAAUACGACUGCAAUGAAAGGACUACCCUGAUGCUUGAUAGCUUGAUCUGGCCAAUUAUGCAGUCAUGGGUCUUCUCAUACAUUGAUUAUUUUAACAUUGUUACCUGCUUUUGGGGGAAGAGCAGUAGGUUAUAGAUCGACAUCAGUAGAUACAGUGGUACCUCAGGUUAAGAACUUAAUUCGUUCUGGAGGUCCAUUCUUAACCUGAAACUGUUCUUAACCUGAAGUAGUCUUUGCUUCUUCCAGUAUACAGUGGUACCUCUGGUUACGUAUUUAAUUCGUUCGGAGGUCCAUUCUUAACCUGAAACUGUUCUUAACCUGAAGCACCACUUUAGCUAAAGGGGCCUCCCGCUGCUGCCAUGCCCCGCAAUUUGUGUUCUCAUCCUGAAGCAAAUUUCUUAACCCAAGGUACUAUUUCUGGGUUAGCGGAGUCUGUAACCUGAAGUGUAUGUAACCUGAAGCAUAUGUAACCCGAGGUACCACUGUAAUCUGUGGAAUUAAGUGAAAUGGAACCAGAAGUGAGGCUCUGUGAAUCCAGAGGUGUAUCUACACUUCAGACACCUUCAACCAGAGUCAAUAUUUGUUCACGCUCCCCAAGAAUCCCUGAUAACUGUCAUCUGUGCAACAGAUCUCCAGCAAAAGCUCUCCGUGCUCAUGCUAAACUACAGUUCCCAAACCCCUUUGGAAAAAGCUAUACCUGAACUAGUAUAUUUUUGUAGUAACAUUUACUCUUUGAGGCAUUCCCAUAUGACGUCAGUUGAAAUAUUACUGUCUGGAAAUGUUCCCCUACUAGGUCCAUCAGUCUCUGUGUGUACAUUAUUACUUAUAUCCACACUACAAACAUGUUUUAGAAACCCUGCAGAAUACGAAAUAGAAGCUUAGGUUUUCAAGUUGAGAUUGAAUUUUUAAAUUUUAUUUUAAGCAGCAAAAUAAUAUAUUUUCUCUCUCUUUGAGAAUAUAAUUGCUAUUUAUUUCUUUAAGCAGAACUCCACCUUCAUUUUAUGAAACCUGGAUGUUAACAUUUAAGGCUACCAAUGAGG
rnacentral:lncRNA from 1 species